UCGAUUCCCUUAGUAGCGGCGAGCGAAACGGGAAGAGCCCAAACCAACAAGCUUGCUUGUUGGGGUUGUAGGACACUCUAUACGGAGUUACAAAGGACGACAUUAGACGAAUCAUCUGGAAAGAUGAAUCAAAGAAGGUAAUAAUCCUGUAGUCGAAAAUGUUGUCUCUCUUGAGUGGAUCCUGAGUACGACGGAGCACGUGAAAUUCCGUCGGAAUCUGGGAGGACCAUCUCCUAAGGCUAAAUACUCUCUAGUGACCGAUAGUGAACCAGUACCGUGAGGGAAAGGUGAAAAGCACCCCGGAAGGGGAGUGAAAUAGAACCUGAAACCGUGUGCUUACAAGUAGUCAGAGCCCGUUAAUGGGUGAUGGCGUGCCUUUUGUAGAAUGAACCGGCGAGUUACGAUUUGAUGCAAGGUUAAGCAGUAAAUGUGGAGCCGUAGCGAAAGCGAGUCUGAAUAGGGCGUUUAGUAUUUGGUCGUAGACCCGAAACCAGGUGAUCUACCCUUGGUCAGGUUGAAGUUCAGGUAACACUGAAUGGAGGACCGAACCGACUUACGUUGAAAAGUGAGCGGAUGAACUGAGGGUAGCGGAGAAAUUCCAAUCGAACCUGGAGAUAGCUGGUUCUCUCCGAAAUAGCUUUAGGGCUAGCCUCAAGUGAUGAUUAUUGGAGGUAGAGCACUGUUUGGACGAGGGGCCCCUCUCGGGUUACCGAAUUCAGACAAACUCCGAAUGCCAAUUAAUUUAACUUGGGAGUCAGAACAUGGGUGAUAAGGUCCGUGUUCGAAAGGGAAACAGCCCAGACCACCAGCUAAGGUCCCAAAAUAUAUGUUAAGUGGAAAAGGAUGUGGCGUUGCCCAGACAACUAGGAUGUUGGCUUAGAAGCAGCCAUCAUUUAAAGAGUGCGUAAUAGCUCACUAGU
rnacentral:rRNA from 1 species